ACAACAGCAGGCACCCCAAAACCUUCCCCGGCCCCGCANNNNNNNNNNCAGCAGGCACCCCAAAACCUUCCCCGGCCCUGUUGGAGCUGCUUGGGUCCCAUCACUCCCCGGCAUCAAACCCUGUGUGGUGGGGAGGUGGGAGCAGGGGUCUGCACCCCUUUGGGUGGAGGUAGGGACAUUGCCAUCCCGUUGCCACCACGUCCAAAGGGACACGGAGCCAGUAUGAAUCUGGCAGCACCCAAGCGCACGGCUGUGCCUCAGUUUCCCCAUCGCUCACAGAGCGGCAAAAGCAGCCAGAACUGGGGAGAGCCAAAGUGCUAAGGCCGCUUUGGACAGAAAUGGUACAAAACCACCCAAAAAUCAGCAUUUUGGGGGUUGCCCAGACAGGGAGCGUGCUUUGUGGCAAGGCGAGUGCAACGAAAGUGCCAGUCCUCAGCCAUCCAGGGGACGAACAGGCCCGGGGGUGGAAACAUGCCCCGGCCCCAAUAACGCCCGAUGACGCCAACGCCGCCGUGAAGCUUCCCAGCCCGCCCGUUGCACAACCACUAAUUGAGCCCAGGGCUCUGCCCGGAUCCCAAUCGCAGCCUGGGUUUAAUUAGCCGCAGGCACGAGGGCAAGCGCGUGCACCAGGGUGGGAAGGGCAGCACCCUGCAGCACCCACCUGGGGAUGGGAAAGGGCUGAAGGCAAAAGGCCCUUUCCCUCCUGGCUUGUGCAAAAAGCUCCGUUUCCAGACCCAAAAUCUCCUCCGAGCACUUGCCUCGAGGCUGCGCUUCUGCCUGAGAACCGUGCAGGGAGGAAAAGCUUCAACUGCAGGAUUUUAUCGCUGGCGAAAUCUGUUUUCUCUCUUUCUUUUUUUUUUUUUAAUUCCUCCCCUCUCCCUUUCUCUCCUUGUUUUUGCACUUCGCACAUGGCUGGAAUUCACAGCUCCAGGCUCAUGCAGGGGGGGUCUGGUCACGGGGCUCUGUGAAUCCCCAGCGGGGCUCCAAAGCACCGGCGUGGGCCAAUUCCUGGAGUCCGAGCCUUCAGCCAACGCUUUCACUCCGUUUCCUGAGGAAAUGAGGCUUUUCGGCAAUCCCCCAUCCCGCCUGCCUGCCCCUGCAGCCCCCUGAGCAGCUCCAGCCCAGCCCGGCCC
rnacentral:lncRNA from 1 species